UGACGUUCGAUUGUCAUGAUUGUUGUGUUUACUGCUGUUUGUUUUCGUGUUUUCAAAGUCCAAAGAAUCCAAGACAGAGGUAUAACAAAACAAUUGUUGACUGCUUUGAUGUGUGAUAUGACGUUUUAUUUAAACACCCUCGGAGCGCAUAGCACCCGAGGCGAAUAUUCGCCCCUCGGUUGUUCAAAACGUCAUGUCCCACAUCACAGCAGUCAACAAUUGUUAACUGUUUGUGUAUCAAUGUCUAUACUUUGAAAGGUCGACAUCUCACCAUUGUAUAAACUUGUGUCAUAAUACUACCAUACUGAGCCAUUAAGCCCCGCCCACUGCGCACGACGGAAACAACACGCGCACGUCAGCCAGUGCCUCACCGCACGUUCCAUGAUCCAGCUGCGCAUCAUGGUGCGUGCACGCACGUUGGACAUUACUCCAUGCAAUCAUCACGGCUAUGAUUGGUCGAAGCACCAUUGGGCGGGGCUUAAUGGAUCAGUGGUCAUGACUGGCACUUAUAGCCUACACAUGUAAAUUUUAUUGGACUAUAACUUUUUAUGUAGGGCUAUAAAUUAUAACGCUGUGUUAUGCACUAAAAAGCUUCAAUUAAAGUUCGCGGUUUACUACACCCAGCUAUAUAGAAUACGGCUACAACCAGCCGAUUAUUAUGACGCUUGUAUUAUAUGCCAAUAACUGUUGUGCUCCAAUUUCCUGCUUGAAAACAAAAUAAAACAAAAUGAUUGGGCCAAACUUGUGCACCCGUCGUAUAAAUAAUGAGGAUGGUAGAAAAUGGACGGCUGUUAUCAAGACUACAACGGGAGCUUUGAGAAAGGUACUUGGACCUCUAUUUACCCGUAAAUAAUGAUUAGACUUGGAUAAGACGUUAAUUCUGAGUUUAUUGCAAAAAUAAUUGUUAAAGAUUAUAAAGAAGAAAAAUGAAGGGUUUACCCCUUGCACUUUUUCUUUUUCAAUUUUUCUAAAUAUUAGGUUAAUGUAUUUGAAAACAUGUUUAUUUGAAAUCGAGAUGUAUUUCUGAAUCGUUUGCAGUAAAUUUUGAUAUUUUAUGUUCCUAUUGUCAGGUUAACCCUUUGUAUAAAAUAUGUUAUGAGAAUUUAUCAAAAAAUGUAAUUGCUCUGAACAUGCUGGAGAAAUGCCAAAUUGUUUCAGAAACACCUUGCAGUUUCUAAAAACGGAUGUGCAAUUCAUGUCAAAAGAAAGAAAUGAUAGUUUAUUCUAUUUUUUAUUUUUCCCCCCAAAUUUGAUUAUUCAAUGUUAGGUUAUUAACCCCUUGAGUUUCGUUUUCAAUUUUGGCUGAGAUUUUUUUAACAGAGGAAAUUGUUUCCAAACUUGUUAGAAAGAGGCCCAAUAAAGACAUUCCUAUAACCUUUCAGGGCAGAUGUGCCAUUCAAAACAAAUAAUACGUCCGAUUUGUGGUGGAAAUCAGUCAACAAAGUAAAAUUUAUUACUUUUACCAAAAUCUCAAAUAUAAAAAAUUAUACGUGUACACAUGUAUUGGGUUUGUGAAUGUUAAAACACGCUCAUCUUGCAUAAUUUACAUGUAUUUCUGAGUAGUUUUGCAGAAAAGGAAACUUUUGACCAAUUUAAUUACAAAUGUAAGGUUAACCCCUUCAAUUUUAUUAUUUUUUUCAAUUUUGGCAGAAACUUUUUGAAAGAUAAUAUUGCUCCAUCUUUUCUGGAAAGAUGCAAGGUAAACCCCUUAUAAUUUCAGACUUCGCAGAAAACUUCCAAGAAAAGUCACAUUUUGCCUAAAUUUGUUCACAAUGCAUGGUUGACCCCUUACCAUUUCAAAGUUUCCCAACAAGUCACAUUUUUCCUAAUUUUGAUGAAAAUGCAAGGUUAACCCAUUACAAUUUUAAAUAUUCAAGAAAAGUCAAAGUUUGCCAACUUUUUAUGAAAAUGCAAGUUAACCCCUUUUACAAUAUAAAACUGUUCAGAAAAGACAAAUCUUGCCAAAUUUUGAUGAAAAUGCAAGGUUAACCCCUUACACAUUUAAGCUUCCCAGAAAAGACCAAUUUGCCCAAUUUCGAUGGAAAUGCAAGGUUUUACCCUUACGAUUUCAAACUUC
rnacentral:lncRNA from 1 species